AUGUUCUCAAAGAAGGCAAGAGUACUCAUUAUUGUAAAGGUAAUUGGAAGCUGGAACUCCAUGUCACCUCUCUCACCCCAUCUUAAAACAAUAGCUCUAAACAAUAUACCCGAAUAUGCCACUGAAGAAAUGACACUCAGAGGAGUAACUGUAAGAAUUGGGGGCCUCUCAGUGGGUGGCCAAAAACCAGUCCUGCUUCCCAUGCCCCAUGCUGGCUCUAGUAACUUCCAUAAAUAAAGGACGUGGGAAGGGGAGGUGGCGGGAAAUUGGGAGCGGAGCAAGAGAUGAUAGGAAAGUGAGAAAAAGAUUGCUUUUUAUUGACUCAAAAACUGGAAUUAUUGAAUAAAUGUUCAGAGCAAUGUGAGAAUCAGGCUGCUUGGUGGUGCUAAUUUAAAAACAGGCAUAAAUUACUCCAUUCAACAAAAAUGCGUUACAUAUAGAAGAAAAGUCCAGCAAAUUGAACAGAGAUUUUUUUCAUUCUUCUUGCGAAAGGUCAGGGCAGUUCUAAUUCCAAUGUCCAAUUACCAGACACAAUCAGCACAGCAAAGUAGAAUCAACUCAAUUUCAAUCUCAGGCAUUUGUCUCACCUUUAGCUGGCUUUGGUAUGACUCACUGCAAUUUUCUCAUCAAAAAGCUAAUUUUAGGAGCAAAAUGUCAAGAAAAGAUGAAAAAGCAGAGCCCAGUUUUACAGAGCCUGGGAUUUUUAAAAAAAAAUCAAGGCUGCACUCAUAAGCUACUUGUCAAAUCAGUCACCCACCGAAGCCUCUGUGAUGUUAUGGCCGGGCUCCAAGGGAAUAGAAAGCAGAAAGACAAGCAUCUCUGUCCCGUUCUCUAAUCUCACAUGGAGGAGGACGUUCUGUUCCAGAUGGUCCUAAAUUUUAACCUGACUUGAUGAUGUUUGAACAAAUUCCAGUUGCCUGAGCAGACUUGACAAAAUGAACACCAAGUAUGGUGGCCCCGGAGGCAGCGGCAGCUGUCUCUUUAAAAAAGCAAAACAGAACAAAAUACAGACAAACAAACAACAACGAUGCCAUUAUUCUAAGUGAAGUAACUCAGGAAUGGAAAACCCUGUAUGCUCUGACUCAUAAGUGGGAGCUAAACUCUAAGGAUGCAAAGGCAUAAGAAUGAUACAAUGCGCUGGGCGCGGUGGCUCACGUCUGUAAUCCCAGCACUUUGGGAGGCCGAGGCCGGUGGAUCAUGAGGCCAAGAGAUCGAGACCAUCCUGGUCAACAUGGUGAAACCUCGUCUCUACUACAAAUACAAAAAAUUAGCUGGGCAUGGUGUCGCGUGCCUGUAGUUCCAGCUACUCGGGAGGCUGAGGCAGGAGAAUUGCCUGAACCCAGGAGGCGGAGGUUGCGGUGAGUCGAGAUUGUGCCAUUGCACUCCCGCCUGGGUAACAAGAGCGAAACUCCGUCUCAAAAAAAAAAAAGUAUGAUACAAUGGACUCUGGGGACUCGUGGGGAAAGGAUGAGAUGGGGUGAAGGGUAAGACGACGUUUUGGAUACAGUGUACACUGCUUGGGUGAGGGUGCACCAGAAUCUCAGAAAUUACCACUCAAAAACUUAUUCACAUAACCCCAAACCACCUGUAUUCCCUGAAACUAUUGAAAUUAAAAUAAAAAUUAGGCUAAGUGCAGUGGCUCAUACCUGUAAUCCUAGCACUUUGGGAGGCCGAGGCGGGCAGACCACUUGAGUUCAGGAGUUUGAGACCAGUCUGGCCAACAUGGUGAAACCCCGUGUCUACUAAAAAUACAGAAAUUAGCCGGGCAUGGUGGUGUGUGUCUGUCUUCCCAGCUACUCAGGAGGCUGAGGCAGGAAAAUUGCUUGAAUCCAGGGGACAGAGGUUGUGAUGAGCCGAGAUUGUGCCACUGCACUCCAGCCUGAGUGACAGACUGACACUCUGUCUCCAAAAAAAAAAAAAAAAAGGAAAUUGAAUUAAAAAUUAAAAUCCAAAAUUCUUUGUAAGGGAAAUCUAUGGAAGGAGGGAAAAAAAUAGAUUUUCUAGGCUAUUUCCAUAUAUAUAUAUAUAUAUAUUUUUUUUUUUUUUUUUGUAGAGAUAGGGUCUCAGUUUGUCACCCAGGCUGGAGUGGAAUGCAGUGGCACCAUCAGAACUCACUGCAGCCUUUACCUCCCAGGCUGAAGCAAUCUUCUCACCUCGGCUUUCUGAGUAUCUAGGACCACAGCUGUGUGCCACCACGCACAGCUAAUUAAACAUUUUUAAUUUUUUAAUGUAGAGAUGGGAUCUCACUAUGUUGUCCAGGCUGAUCUCAAACUCCUGGACUCAAGUGAUCUUCCUGCCCCGGACUCCCAGAGUGCUGGGAUUACAGUCGUGAGCCACCGCACCCAAGCAUUUUUCUACAAGAAGAGGAGUGCCUAUUCAGUUCCCUGAGUGAUUACAAUGAAACCAUCAGCAAGUUCUGUGCCCAGUCAGUGUUGCCAGGUCUCCAGUGCGGGGCGGCCUCCCCAAGGCUCUUUGUGCUCUGGCAUCAGCAACACUCUUUCCUGUGACAUAUUCUCUGGGUCCACUCCAACUCCCUUCUGCUGUAAUUUUGGAAAAGCUUAUUUUGUGGAAUCCUUAUGAAAAUUACAGAACAGUUAUCCAAUCACAUUUCAUGGUCUUGAAAAGCUGGACUUCUAAUCCAGGAGCCCCAGGGCCUGUCCUUGGAGUGCCUGUUCACAGCAGGUGUCUUUCGGGUCCUUCACCACGU
rnacentral:lncRNA from 1 species